rnacentral:misc_RNA from 1 species
UAUUGUAUUCCUGCAAUAUAUCAAUUAUGCCCAUGUAAAGGACAACAUCAUAUACCUCAAAAAGUUCAACCUCCAUUGAAUCAACCUCCUCAAGUUUGCGACUGGCUUGAGCGGGCAUGUUUACUCCUAAUUGAACUCGUAACCUUCCAGUGCCAGGCAAUAAGAGAUCAACUUCCUUUGCACCAAGAGAAUAUGCUCUCAAUGUAUUUCCCCUUAUGUGAGGACCAGGUGCAGUGUCGACAAAGCUGGGUUCAUGGGUAACAAGGAGCAAGCCUGUUGGUGGAAUCAAGGGCUCCCCUUGUAAACUUACACCAUCACUAGAAGGUGAACUCUCAUAAUUGGCUAUAGUACCAGAAGAUUCUAAUACUGCCUUCAAUUGCUCAGGUGCUCUAAAAUGUAAACCCAAGAGAAGGCUAUAAUCAAUGAUUUGUUGAGAUUGCAAGAACCUACAGUCUUCAGAAAG